rnacentral:rRNA from 1 species
AUAGUACCUACUACUUGGAUAGCCGUGGUAAUCUAGAGCUAAUACAUGCUGAAAACCCCAACUUCGGGAGGGGUGUAUUUAUUAGAUAAAAAACCCAACGCCUUCGGGGCUUCUUGGUGAUUCAUGAUAACUUCACGGAUCGCAUGGCCUUGCGCCGGCGACGGUUCAUUCAAAUUUCUGCCCUAUCAACUUUCGAUGGUAAGGUAUUGGCUUACCAUGGUUUCAACGGGUAACGGGGAAUUAGGGUUCGAUUCCGGAGAGGGAGCCUGAGAAACGGCUACCACAUCCAAGGAAGGCAGCAGGCGCGCAAAUUACCCAAUCCCGACACGGGGAGGUAGUGACAAUAAAUACUGAUACAGGGCUCUUUUGGGUCUUGUAAUUGGAAUGAGUACAAUUUAAACCUCUUAACGAGGAACAAUUGGAGGGCAAGUCUGGUGCCAGCAGCCGCGGUAAUUCCAGCUCCAAUAGCGUAUAUUAAAGUUGUUGCAGUUAAAAAGCUCGUAGUUGAAACUUGGGCCUGGCUGGCAGGUCCGCCUCACCGCGUGUACUUGUCCGGCCGGGCCUUUCCUUCUGGAGAACCUCAUGCCCUUCACUGGGUGUGUUGGGGAACCAGGACUUUUACUUUGAAAAAAUUAGAGUGUUCAAAGCAGGCCUUUGCUCGAAUACGUUAGCAUGGAAUAAUAGAAUAGGACGUGCGGUCCUAUUUUGUUGGUUUCUAGGACCGCCGUAAUGAUUAAUAGGGACAGUCGGGGGCAUCAGUAUUCAAUUGUCAGAGGUGAAAUUCUUGGAUUUAUUGAAGACUAACUACUGCGAAAGCAUUUGCCAAGGAUGUUUUCAUUAAUCAGUGAACGAAAGUUAGGGGAUCGAAGACGAUCAGAUACCGUCGUAGUCUUAACCGUAAACUAUGCCGACUAGGGAUCGGGCGAUGUUCUUUUUCUGACUCGCUCGGCACC